rnacentral:tRNA from 2 species
GCCGGGGUGGCCGAGCCAGGUCCAAGGCGAUCUCCGCAGGCGCAAGGGGGCCCGGGUUCAAAUCCCGGCCCCGGCACCA